rnacentral:rRNA from 1 species
GAUCAUGGCUCAGGAUGAACGCUGGCGGCGUGCUUAACACAUGCAAGUCGAACGGACGAUGAAGAGCUUGCUCUUCAGAGUUAGUGGCGGACGGAUGAGUAACGCGUGGGUAACCUGCCUCAUACAGGGGGAUAGCAGCUGGAAACGGCUGAUAAAACCGCAUAAGCGCACAGCAUCGCAUGAUGCAGUGUGAAAAACUCCGGUGGU